AGUGAACGCUGGCGGUAGGCCUAACACAUGCAAGUCGAACGGCAGCACAGGAGAGCUUGCUCUCUGGGUGGCGAGUGGCGGACGGGAGAGGAAUACAUCGGAAUCUACUCUGUCGUGGGGGAUAACGUAGGGAAACUUACGCUAAUACCGCAUACGACGUACGGGUGAAAGCAGGGGAACUUCGGGCCUUGCGCGAUGGAAUGAGCCGAUGUCGGAUGAGCUAGUUGGCGGGGUAAAGGGCCACCAAGGCGACGAUCCGUAGCUGGGCUGAGAGGAUGAUCAGCCACACUGGAACUGAGACACGGUCCAGACUCCUACGGGAGGCAGCAGUGGGGAAUAUUGGACAAUGGGCGCAAGCCUGAUCCAGCCAUACCGCGUGGGUGAAGAAGGCCUUCGGGUUGUAAAGCCCUUUUGUUGGGAAAGAAAUCCAGCUGGCUAAUACCCGGUUGGGAUGACGGUACCCAAAGAAUAAGCACCGGCUAACUUCGUGCCAGCAGCCGCCGUAA
rnacentral:rRNA from 1 species